AUUAUAUAAGUAACAAUUUAAGAAGGUUGAAACUUUUGUUGGAUUACAUAUAAAAGCCCGCGACGAGAGCUCGAUAGCUGUUCUUGAAAUCGUUUUAGACUGUACUUUUGAACCCUACGACCAAGACCAAAUCUUAAGGGUGAGACAAACUUGGCAAUCGUGUCUACUAUAGUUUUUGAGCAGUUUUCUGAGCUUUGGAUAAAUCGACUGUACUCUAUUACGCGGAGAAUUUUCACAUGAUCCAAAUUGAACGUUUCGGAUUUUAAUUCCUGCUUUGAGGGAUCAAUGACAGAUCUUUCGAGUAUGUAAGACUUGUUAACAUUCAAAAGAUCCGAUGCCCAUCUGGGCAGUCUUCCCUGUUUAACAAGUAAUCUUUCGGUAUAUAGUCGACCUUCAUCAUCCACAUAUCGCUCGAGUACAUCAGCUGAGACUACGUGAAGACUAUACGGACUAACUAUUGUUAAUAAAAGAACAUUAACACAAUAAAAAUGAACCUCAUAGUUUAUGAUCGACGUACUUUGGAUAUCUAGUGAGCCAAGCUGAAGAGACUGUAUUCCAGGAAGCAUUUAACUCGGUUUUGUCAGUACAUAUUGCAGUCAUAUCAGAAAAUCAAUCAUUUGCUUUUAAUUUUUUUUUGAAAAAUAAAUAUGCUAAAAAGCCUUUUAGCCAGUCUUCCCUCAAAAUAUUUCACCCAAAAAGAUUUACUGACGAAAGAUUGGUAUAAUGGACAAUUUAUUGACUUAAUAAAUAACGUGAUAUAAGGUGCUCGUUAUUUUCACUUGUGAAAACAUCACAUGUUAGUAUUGUAAAACAGAUAAUCAGUGGCGAUGCUCAAAGAAU